rnacentral:misc_RNA from 1 species
GAAAUGCGAUAAGUAAUGUGAAUUGCAGAAUUCAGUGAAUCAUCGAAUCUUUGAACGCAGAUUGCGCCCGCCAGUAUUCUGGCGGGCAUGCCUGUCCGAGCGUCAUUUCAACCAUCAAGCCCCCGGGCUUGUGUUGGGGACCUGCGGCUGCCCGCAGGCCCUGAAAACCAGUGGCGGGCUCUCUGUCACACCGAGCGUAGUAGCAAUCACCUCGCUCAGGGCGUGCUGCGGGUUCCGGCCGUUAAACAGCCUUACAAAACCCAAGGUUGACCUCGGAUCAGGUAGGAAGACCCGCUGAACUUAAGC